rnacentral:rRNA from 1 species
UACGGAGGGUGCGGGCGUGUCCGGAAUCACUGGGCGUAAAGGGCGCGUAGGCGGCCUGAUAAGUAGGGGGGUGAAAUCCUGCGGCUUAACCGCAGGGCUGCCUUCUAAACUGUCAGGCUCGAGCACAGUAGAGGCAGGUGGAAUUCCCGGUGUAGCGGUGGAAUGCGUAGAGAUCGGGAAGAACAUCAGUGGCGAAGGCGGCCUGCUGGGCUGUUGCUGGACG